UACAGAGGUCUCAAGCGUUGUUCGGAUUCAUUGGGCGUAAAGGGUGUGUAGGUGGCGCGGUAAGUCGGGUGUGAAAUUUCGGAGCUUAACUCCGAAACUGCAUUCGAUACUGCCGUGCUUGAGGACUGGAGAGGAGACUGGAAUUUACGGUGUAGCAGUGAAAUGCGUAGAUAUCGUAAGGAAGACCAGUGGCGAAGGCGGGUCUCUGGACAGUUCCUGACACUGAGGCACGAAGGCCAGGGAGCAAACGGG
rnacentral:rRNA from 1 species